rnacentral:rRNA from 1 species
CCUACGGGGCGCAGCAGUGGGGAAUAUUGCACAAUGGGGGAAACCCUGAUGCAGCGACGCCGCGUGAGUGAAGAAGUAUUUCGGUAUGUAAAGCUCUAUCAGCAGGGAAGAGAAUGACGGUACCUGAGUAAGAAGCCCCGGCUAACUACGUGCCAGCAGCCGCGGUCAUACGUAGGGGGCAAGCGUUAUCCGGAUUUACUGGGUGUAAAGGGAGCGGAGACGGCGAAGAAAGUCUGAAGUGAAAGCCCGCGGCUCAACCGCGGAACUGCUUUGGAAACUGUUUUGCUGGAGUACCAGAGAGGUAAGCAGAAUUCCUAGUGUAGCGGUGAAAUGCGUAGAUAUUAGGAGGAACACCAGUGGCGAAGGCGGCUUACUGGACGGUAACUGACGUUGAGGCUCGAAAGCGUGGGGAGCAAACAGGAUUAGAUACCCGAGUAGUC